UACAGAGGGGGCAAGCGUUGUUCGGAAUUACUGGGCGUAAAGGGCGCGUAGGCGGCCUUCUAAGUCGAACGUGAAAUCCCCGGGCUCAACCCGGGAACUGCAUCCGAUACUGGAAGGCUUGAAUCCGGGAGAGGGAUGCGGAAUUCCAGGUGUAGCGGUGAAAUGCGUAGAUAUCUGGAGGAAUACCGGUGGCGAAGGCGGCAUCCUGGACCGACAUUGACGCUGAGGAGCGAAAGCUAGGGGAGCAAACGGG
rnacentral:rRNA from 1 species